GAUGAACGCUAGCGGCGUGCCUAAUACAUGCAAGUCGAGCGAACGGACGAGAAGCUUGCUUCUCUGAUGUUAGCGGCGGACGGGUGAGUAACACGUGGAUAACCUACCUAUAAGACUGGGAUAACUUCGGGAAACCGGAGCUAAUACCGGAUGAUAUUUUGAACCGCAUGGUUCAAAAGUGAAAGACGGUCUUGCUGUCACUUAUAGAUGGAUCCGCGCUGCAUUAGCUAGUUGGUAAGGUAACGGCUUACCAAGGCAACGAUGCAUAGCCGACCUGAGAGGGUGAUCGGCCACACUGGAACUGAGACACGGUCCAGACUCCUACGGGAGGCAGCAGUAGGGAAUCUUCCGCAAUGGGCGAAAGCCUGACGGAACAACGCCGCGUGAGUGAUGAAGGUCUUCGGAUCGUAAAACUCUGUUAUUAGGGAAGAACAUAUGUGUAAGUAACUGUGCACAUCUUGACGGUACCUAAUCAGAAAGCCACGGCUAACUACGUG
rnacentral:rRNA from 1 species